AGGCUUUAAACGGGUACCGAGAAGGAUCUACUGCCUUCACACGCGCUCCUUUUAACUUAAAACACUGCUUUCACCUUAAAAGAGAAACAAGAGGAACACACGGACGCCAGAAAGAGAAUGACGGAAACGGAGGGGUCAUCUCCAGCAGGGUCCGAAUCCUCAGAUGGAACCACAGGCCACCAGGCCAGCACAGGGGCCUCCGGGAGGGUCCGCCCUGCUCCACGGCCGCAGGGGUGUGUGUGCAUCAGUGAGUGUGCCUGUGUGCAUGCAUGCCAACAGGCACACAUGCAUGUGUCCACACAAGGACGUGUGUGCAUGUGUGUGAGUGUGCAUGUGUGUGCAUGACUGUGCAUAUAUGUGCACGUGUGUGCGAGUGUGCGUGUGCAUGUGUAUAUGUGCGCAUGAGUGUGCAUGAGUGCAAGUGUGCAUGUGUGUAUGUGUGCAAGCGUGUGUGCACAUGUGCUUGUGUGUGCAUGUGUGUGCAAGUGUGCAUGUGUGCGAGUGUGCAUAUGUGCAUUGUGUGCGUGAGUGUGCGUGUGGUCCGUGUACACAUCUGUCCAUACAUGUGAGCUUGCAUGCACAUGUGCGCAUGUGAGUGUGCAUGCAUGUGUUGUGUGUGUACGUGUCUGCACGUUGGUGUGUGUAUGUGUGUGCCUGUGAGUGUGCAGAGAGGCCCUGGCGCUCGAGGAGGGCCUACAGCUCAUAGUACUCACCCGGCGGGCCCAGUUGACGAGGUCAUCCAGCUUGGCCACCACAUACUCGCCCCGGCUGCUGGGUUUGGGAGCCACGGCUCUGGCCUUUGGCAGGGCAGGCUGGGUGCUGGCACAGAGACACACGGGCACAGGAGGCGUCAGCCACGCAGGUGCUUCCCAGAGGCGGAUGCGAGCCCCCACGGCCGCUGCCAGAGGCCUGGACCCACAUGAGCAGGUCAACAGUGUCCAAGCAAGGACGGUCCCAGGAUCAUCCACAGAAGGAAACUGGCAGCAGGCCCUCCACACAUGACCAAGGAAUCUGCAGUCCGCUAAGCGGGGAGGGCGCUGCCCACGUCAAUCUACACAGAAAAGCACCCCUAGAGGAGCCAGCCUCAAAGGAAGCGCAGAGGAGGGAACGCGCCUGCACGAAGUCUCCUGGGAGAGCCUUCCCGAGGCGAAGACUAAGGCCAGAGCAGGGCCUUGCCACGCCCGGGGCACUCAGCGGGAGGAAACCUGGAGGUGCCAGGAAUCCUGGCUCACAAGGAAGAAUCCAGAAAGGCAGGCUUGGUGCUGGUGACGGCUGAACUGUGACCCUCCACCCGACCUGCAUCUGAAGCCCUAACCCCAGGACCUCAGAAUGUGACUGCUUUUGGAGAUGGGGUCUUUAAAGGGAU
rnacentral:lncRNA from 1 species